GCCGCGUGUGUGAAGAAGGCCUUCGGGUUGUAAAGCACUUUCAGUGAGGAAGAAAGCCUUGAGGUUAAUACCCUCGAGGGAGGACAUCACUCACAGAAGAAGCACCGGCUAACUCCGUGCCAGCAGCCGCGGUAAUACGGAGGGUGCGAGCGUUAAUCGGAAUUACUGGGCGUAAAGCGCGCGUAGGCGGCUUGAUAAGCCGGUUGUGAAAGCCCCGGGCUCAACCUGGGAACGGCAUCCGGAACUGUCAGGCUAGAGUGCAGGAGAGGAAGGUAGAAUUCCCGGUGUAGCGGUGAAAUGCGUAGAGAUCGGGAGGAAUACCAGUGGCGAAGGCGGCCUUCUGGACUGACACUGACGCUGAGGUGCGAAAGCGUGGGUAGCAAACAGGAUUAGAUACCCUGGUAGUCCACGCCGUAAACGAUGUCGACUAGCCGUUGGGCUCCUUGAGAGCUUUGUGGCGCAGUUAACGCGAUAAGUCGACCGCCUGGGGAGUACGGCCGCAAGGUUAAAACUCAAAUGAAUUGACGGGGGCCCGCACAAGCGGUGGAGCAUGUGGUUUAAUUCGAUGCAACGCGAAGAACCUUACCUACCCUUGACAUCGAGAGAACUUUCCAGAGAUGGAUUGGUGCCUUCGGGAGCUCUCAGACAGGUGCUGCAUGGCUGUCGUCAGCUCGUGUUGUGAAAUGUUGGGUUAAGUCCCGUAACGAGCGCAACCC
rnacentral:rRNA from 1 species